AACGAACGCUGGCGGCGUGCCUAACACAUGCAAGUCGAGCGCGAAAAGGGCAACCUGAGUAGAGCGGCGCACGGGUGCGUAACACGUGGGUAAUCUGCCUUAGAGUCGAGGAUAACCUUCCGAAAGGUUGGCUAAUACUCGGUAAGCUUACGGUGUCUUCGGACGCUGUGGGAAAAGUAGGCCUCUGUUUACAAGCUUACGCUCUGAGAUGAGCCCGCGGCCCAUCAGCUAGUUGGCGGUGUAACGGACCACCAAGGCAACGACGGGUAGCUGGUCUGAGAGGACGAUCAGCCACACUGGAACUGAGACACGGUCCAGACUCCUACGGGAGGCAGCAGUGGGGAAUUUUCCACAAUGGGCGAAAGCCUGAUGGAGCAACGCCGCGUGUGUGAUGAAGGUUUUCGGACCGUAAAGCACUUUCGACUGGGACGAAAAACCUUUGGCUAACAUCCAGGGGCCUGACGGUACCAGGGGAAGAAGCACCGGCUAACUCUGUGCCAGCAGCCGCAGUAACAC
rnacentral:rRNA from 1 species